rnacentral:rRNA from 1 species
AUUGAACGCUGGCGGCAGGCCUAACACAUGCAAGUCGAACGAGUGGCGGACGGGUGAGUAAUGUCUGGGAAACUGCCUGAUGGAGGGGGAUAACUACUGGAAACGGUAGCUAAUAACGCAUACCAUACGAUGUGCCCAGAUGGGAUAGGCUUGUUGGUGGGGUAACGGCUCACCAAGGCGACGAUCCCUAGCUGGGCUGAGGGGAUGACCAGCCACACUGGAACGGGGAAACGGUCCAGAGUCCUACGGGAGGAAGCAGUGGGGAAUAUUGCACAAUGGGCGAAAGCCUGAUGCAGCAAUGCCGCGUGGAGGAAGAAGGCCUUCGGGUUGUAAAGUACUUUCAGCGGGGAGGCGUUACCCGCAGAAGAAGCACCGGCUAACUCCGUGCCAGCAGCCGCGGUAAUAC